GCGUCUUUAGCUCAGUGGCAGAGCGCUUGCCCGACACGCAAGCUGCCCGGUGUUCGAUUCACCGAAGACGCACCA
rnacentral:tRNA from 1 species